CACUAGAGAAAAAGAAGUCCCUUUCCUGUUCCUGGAUAGAUAAUGUAAAGAUCUUCAAUGGAAAAAAGUUCCUUUUCCACUCAGGCGUGCUGGCAAAUGGGGAGUCCGAAUGCUCGGAGCAAAGGUAUUCCAUCUCUGCCGUGUGAUGAGCACACAGUGAAAGUCAUCAAGAACUCUGCUGAAUUAAAUGAACUUUUCAGAAACUCUGAUGCUGCAGAGAAGGGACCCAACUUAAGAUCCUGAGGACUCACUCCCUGCUCUCCUGUGGAAGCUUUUUCACUGC